GACGAACGCUGGCGGCGUGCUUAACACAUGCAAGUCGAACGGUAAGGCCCUUCGGGAUACACGAGUGGCGAACGGGUGAGUAACACGUGGGUGAUCUGCCCUGCACUUCGGGAUAAGCCUGGGAAACUGGGUCUAAUACCGGAUAGGACUCCGGACUGCAUGGUCUGGGGUGGAAAGCUUUUGCGGUGUGGGAUGGGCCCGCGGCCUAUCAGCUUGUUGGUGGGGUGAUGGCCUACCAAGGCGACGACGGGUAGCCGGCCUGAGAGGGUGACCGGGCACACUGGGACUGGAAUACGGCACAGACUCCUACGGGAGGCAGCAGUGGGGAAUAUUGCACAAUGGGCGCAAGCCUGAUGCAGCGACGCCGCGUGAGGGAUGACGGCCUUCGGGUUGUAAACCUCUUUCAGCAUCGACGAAGCGAAAGUGACGGUAGGUGCAGAAGAAGGACCGGCCAACUACGUGCCAGCCGCCGCCGUAA
rnacentral:rRNA from 1 species